GAUGAACGCUGGCGGCGUGCCUAAUACAUGCAAGUCGAGCGAAAAGAUGAGGAGCUUGCUCCUCUGACGUUAGCGGCGGACGGGAGAGUAACACGUGGAUAAUCUACCUAUAAGUCUGGUAUAACUACGGGAAACCGGAGCUAAUCCCGGAUAAUAUACUGAACCGCAUGGGUCAAUAGUGAAAGUCGGUUUUUCGGUCACUUAUAGAUGGAUCCGCGCCGCAUUAGCUAGUUGGUAAGUUACAGGCUUAUCACGGCAACGAUGCGUAGCCGACCUGAGAGAGUGAUCGGCGACACGGGAGCGGGAACACGGUCCAGGCUCCUACGAGAGGCAGCAGUAGGGAAUCUGCCGCAGUGGGCGAGAGCCUGGCGGAACAACGCCGCGUGAGUUAUAGAAGUCUUCGGAGCGUAAAACUCUGUUAUGAGUGAAAAACAAAUGUGUAAGUAGCUAUGCACGUCGUGACGGUACCGGAUCAGAAAGCCACGGCUAACUACGUG
rnacentral:rRNA from 1 species